ACAAUUUUCACGGAACACUUAUUUAUGAUUUCAACUUUGACUUUUUCACUAAUUCCAAUAUUAACUGUUUAAAAAUAACAGACCAUGGUAAUUUUAAAAAAAAUAAGAAUACUUUCCGUAUCAAGUUAGUUAGUCGGAUAAAACAACCGUACGAUUGACAAGAUAUCGACACGCAAUUAUGACUACAUCGGUUACUGUAGUUUUGUUCCUUUGUGGUUUAUAGACAUAUCGUUGUUAUUAAUCGGGAAAUAAGACAAAAUGGCCGAUCGCAGAGAAUUGAUACUCUAAAUUUAAAAUCGAUGGUGAUCUCUUAUCUAGCGG
rnacentral:lncRNA from 1 species